rnacentral:rRNA from 1 species
AUUGAACGCUGGCGGCAGGCCUAACCCAUGCACGUCGAACGAGUGGCGGACUGGUGAGUAACGCCUGGGAAACUGCCUGAUGGAUGGGGAUAACUAUUGGAAAGGGCAGCUAAUACCGCAUACCAUCAGACGUGCCCAGAUGGGAUUAGCUAGUUGGUGGGGUAACGGCUAACCAGGGCGACGAUCGCUAGCGGGUCUGAGAGGAGGAACAGCCAAACUGGAUGUGAGACACGGACCAGAGUCCUACGGGAGGAAGCAGUGGGUAAUGUUGGACAAUGGGCGCAAGCCGUAUGCAGCCAUGCCGCGUGGAUGAGGAAGGCCUUCGGGUUGUAAAGUACUUUCGGCGGGGAGGCGUUACCCGCAGAAGAAGCACCGGCUAACUCCGUGCCAGCAGCCGCGGUAAUAC